rnacentral:tRNA from 1 species
GGAGAGGUGCCGGAGUGGUUGAACGGGUCGAUUUCGAAAAUCGUUAAGAGCAUGAUGUUCUUCAAGGGUUCAAAUCCCUUCCUCUCCG